GACGAACGCUUGCGGCGUGCCUAAUACAUGCAAGUAGAACGCACAGUUUAUACCGUAGCUUGCUACACCAUAGACUGUGAGUUGCGAACGGGUGAGUAACGCGUAGGUAACCUGCCUGGUAGCGGGGGAUAACUAUUGGAAACGAUAGCUAAUACCGCAUAAUAUUGAUUAUUGCAUGAUAAUUGAUUGAAAGAUGCUAUUGCAUCACUACCAGAUGGACCUGCGUUGUAUUAGCUAGUAGGUGAGGUAACGGCUCACCUAGGCGACGAUACAUAGCCGACCUGAGAGGGUGAUCGGCCACACUGGGACUGAGACACGGCCCAGACUCCUACGGGAGGCAGCAGUAGGGAAUCUUCGGCAAUGGACGAAAGUCUGACCGAGCAACGCCGCGUGAGUGAAGAAGGUUUUCGGAUCGUAAAGCUCUGUUGUAAGAGAAGAACGGGUGUGAGAGUGGAAAGUUCACACUGUGACGGUAUCUUACCAGAAAGGGACGGCUAACUACGUG
rnacentral:rRNA from 1 species